rnacentral:rRNA from 1 species
UUGAACGCUGGCGGCAGGCCUAACACAUGCAAGUCGAACGGUAACAGGAAGAAGCUUGCUUCUUUGCUGACGAGUGGCGGACGGGUGAGUUAUGUCUGGGAAACUGCCUGAUGGAGGGGGAUAACUACUGGAAACGGUAGCUAAUACCGCAUAAUGUCGCAAGACCAAAGAGGGGGACCUUCGGGCCUCUUGCCAUCGGAUGUGCCCAGAUGGGAUUAGCUAGUAGGUGGGGUAACGGCUCACCUAGGCGACGAUCCCUAGCUGGUCUGAGAGGAUGACCAGCCACACUGGAACUGAGACACGGUCCAGACUCCUACGGGAGGCAGCAGUGGGGAAUAUUGCACAAUGGGCGCAAGCCUGAUGCAGCUAUGCCGCGUGUAUGAAGAAGGCCUUCGGGUUGUAAAGUACUUUCAGCGGGGAGGAAGGGAGUAAAGUUAAUACCUUUGCUCAUUGACGUUACCCGCAGAAGAAGCACCGGCUAACUCCGUG